UACGUAGGAUGCGAGCGUUGUCCGGAAUUAUUGGGCGUAAAGAGCUCGUAGGCGGUCUGUCGCGUCGGUCGUGAAAACUUGGGGCUUAACCCUGAGCUUGCGGUCGAUACGGGCAUGACUGGAGUUCGGCAGGGGAGACUGGAAUUCCUGGUGUAGCGGUGAAAUGCGCAGAUAUCAGGAGGAACACCGGUGGCGAAGGCGGCCUUCUGGACAGUGACUGACGCUGAGACGCGAAAGCGUGGGGAGCAAACAGG
rnacentral:rRNA from 1 species